UCCUACGGGAGGCAGCAGUGGGGAAUUUUCCGCAAUGGGCAAAAGCCUGACGGAGCAAUACCGCGUGAGGGAAGACGGCCUAUGGGUUGUAAACCUCUUUUUUCAGGGAGGAAUUUUGACGUGUACCUGAAGAAUAAGCAUCGGCUAACUCCGUGCCAGCAGCCGCGGUAAGACGGAGGAUGCAAGUGUUAUCCGGAAUCACUGGGCGUAAAGCGUCUGUAGGUGGUUAAGCAAGUCAACUGUUAAAUCUUGAGGCUCAACUUCAAAAUCGCAGUCGAAACUGUUUGACUAGAGUAUAGUAGGGGUAAAGGGAAUUUCCAGUGGAGCGGUGAAAUGCGUAGAUAUUGGAAAGAACACCGAUGGCGAAGGCACUUUACUGGGCUAUUACUGACACUCAGAGACGAAAGCUAGGGUAGCAAAUGGGAUUAGAUACCCCAGUAGUCCUAGCCGUAAACAAUGGAUACUAGAUGUUGAACAGAUCGACCUGUGCAGUAUCAAAGCUAACGCGUUAAGUAUCCCGCCUGGGAAGUAUGCUCGCAAGAGUGAAACUCAAAGGAAUUGACGGA
rnacentral:rRNA from 1 species